GGGCCCGCACAAGCGGUGGAGUAUGUGGUUUAAUUCGAUGCAACGCGAAGAACCUUACCAGGGCUUGACAUCCUGCGAAUCUCUGGGAAACCGGAGAGUGCCUUCGGGAACGCAGUGACAGGUGGUGCAUGGCUGUCGUCAGCUCGUGUCGUGAGAUGUUGGGUUAAGUCCCGCAACGAGCGCAACCCACGUCUUUAGUUGCCAGCAUUUAGUUGGGCACUCUAGAGAGACCGCCGGUGACAAACCGGAGGAAGGUGUGGAUGACGUCAAGUCAUCAUGCCCCUUACAUCCCUGGGCUACACACGUACUACAAUGCUACGGACAAAGGGCAGCAAACUCGCGAGAGCUAGCAAAUCCCAUAAACCGUGGCUCAAGUUCAGAUCGUAGGCUGCAACUCGCCUACGUGAAGGAGGAAUCGCUAGUAAUCGCAGGU
rnacentral:rRNA from 1 species